rnacentral:misc_RNA from 1 species
UGCCAUUCUAUCAUCUAACCACACAACCUUACACAAGGAUUUUGGAAUGUCUUUCCUGAAGUUAGCCAGAGUUGAGUGAAGUUCAUCAGCAUGAUUACUAACAGCAUUUGAAUCAAUCACAAAUAGUAUGAUUCCAGAAGAGAUUUUGGAGUUGGUGUUUCUAUAUUGUGGAAGAAUAUGAUCAGUUCCAUCCUUGAUGCUUAGAGGCUUACUGUUCAUAUCCGAAUUACUGGAUGCAGACGUGCUCGAGUAUUCAAAUAAAUUUGACUCAGAUUUUCCUGCACUAAAAUAACAACCUUCCAAUUUUCGCUUGAUUUUCUCCAGGCUGAAGGGAAAACCUCUCCAAUGCUUAAUAAUGGUCACUUUUAUGUUCAAGCUCUCAAUAUACUUCUUUAAAACUUUUCUCCUUUCUUCGCCUGCCAUGAACAUUAUCACAUGGGACCCUUCUGGUUUAGGUGACAUGAAAUAAAAAUGCUGAUGAAAUCCACUGGAGGGGCGAUUUUCUUCAGUGUCAAGAAACUCAGCUCCACUUGUAGAAAGAAAAACAUUGAACCUGAAGCAAGUACCUCUUUGUCCAGGCUCCUUCUCAAUAAUUCUCAAUUCUCCUUUCAUUACGCGUACCAAAGAUUGAACAAUGCCAAGUCCUAAUCCACAGCCUUCUUGUCCAAUAGUUGUUUCCUUCACUUGAACAUAGUCUUCAAAGAUAGAUUUUUGCUUAUCUUUGGGAACUCCCCUGCCUGUAUCAUCUACCUCAAACUCAAUUUCCAAUUCAUUUGGGUUUUCUUCAACCGAAUGGAAGGCAUCAAGAUCAGUAAAAGCAUUCUUAUUUCGGUGACAAAACCAUGAUAAAAAUUUCAAAGCAUUAGUACGAUUGGAAGCAAUAAUCUCUUUCUUAAAAUUGUUUUUCUUGACGACAGCACGAACCGAGACAUGACCAUCAGUUGUAAAUUUUAUGGCAUUGCUGACCAAAUUGCACAAGAUCUGUUUGAUCUUUAUUCGAUCGCCUCUCACCAAAGGUAAUUUUAGAAUUGAG